CAAGCAGCGGAGCGUGUGGUUUAAUUCGAUGAUACACGAAGAACCUUACCAGGGUUUGACAUGCUAGUGGUAGGGAUCCGAAAGGUGACCGACCCCUCGGGGAGCUAGCACAGGUGCUGCAUGGCUGUCGUCAGCUCGUGUCGUGAGAUGUUCGGUUAAGUCCGCUAACGAGCGCAACCCUUGCUGUGUGUUACAUGUGUCACACGGGACUGCCGGUCUUAAACCGGAGGAAGGUGGGGAUGACGUCAAGUCAGCAUGGCCUUUAUGUCCUGGGCUACACACACGCUACAAUGGCCGGUACAACAGGUUGCGAAGCCGCGAGGCGGAGCCAAUCCUCAAAGCCGGCCUCAGUUCAGAUUGCAGGCUGCAACCCGCCUGCAUGAAGAUGGAGUUGCUAGUAACCGCAGGUCAGCUAUACUGCGGUGAAUACGUUCCGGGCUU
rnacentral:rRNA from 1 species